ACUUUAUCCCUUGUCUUCGGGUCUGACAAGGUUGGCAAUUCCUCUGCCACCCUUUUGUAUGGUGCUGUUCUCAUUUGCAAGCUUCUAACUUGUUCCUAUGUUCACACCUUGGGAAAAAUGCCCACGCCGACGAUUGGGGCCCGAGAGGAGUCUGGAACUCCUCAAAGGUCAAAAUGGACUCCGUUCUUUUGCACGGAUCUACAAUAAUUCACUGCACCUUUUGGUCAAUAUGUGUUGAUGGCAACAGUCCUUCAGACACAGGGACUUGCUAACCUCUGUAUCUUAUCUCUCCGGAUCCGGAUUUCCAUGAUGGGUCCAUGAGGGGUGGUCGACACCAAAAUGGUAUCCGUGCUCUUUGGACCUGACAAAAUUAUCCCGUUAUUUGAAGCGUAUGGUCAAUUCUGGCU
rnacentral:lncRNA from 1 species